ACUGGGUUAUUUGUCUGUAAAUAUGCUGAUAUUUAUAUUUACUACUUAUCUUAAUCUGAAAUAAGCUAAGGAUCGCUUAAGUAUUUUGCUUUUUGUUUUUGGUUUUAUUGGAUGUUUUCACUGGGCUUUGUUCCUUUGAUGCUUCAGACUGCAGUUGUUCCUUUCAAUUAAUAAUUCCUGAAGAUCCACAUUGUAAUAAAAAUACUAUGAUAAGAAGUGCCUUCGGAAUAGCUGAUGAUAGGAGUGGUCAGUGAAAACAUUUUCUAUGUAAGCAGACAGUUACAACUUGACAAAGGUCACAGAGGCAAAUUCACUGUGAAACAGAGCAACACUGGAGACGGUAACGGGAGGAAUUCUGAUGGUGUAAGUCUCCCAUCGAGGAACCACUCAGAUUGUUUCUGGAAAUAGAUUAAAUUAAAUUCGCAAUAAUUGUAGAAUGCCUGAAUUUAUUUAUAAUUGGCUUUAUUAUUGGUAACAAUCAGUGUGGUUUUCAUCAGAUGAUUUUCAAGAGACAAAAAUUAACUUUGACAUUCAUACAUUCUGCAGCACUGUAAAUGAGAUGUGCAUUUGAUCCAACACAAAAUAAUGAUUGGUAAUGAAUAUGAAUAUUUUACAAUUUGUAGGGUGGGAAAGAUGUGUGUGUUAAGCAUUUGAUUUUGUUACUUGAUUCUAGCCUUCUCUUUAAAACUUCAUACCUGUACAGGUUUCUUUUGUGAUCAGUCCCUAUUUUCGAAUGAACUUGCUAAGAAAGAUGACCCAUCUGGAUCAUGCUAUAAUAUGAAAAUGCACUGUUGAAGGAUAAGCAGUGUGGAACUUUUUUUUGGACUGGUGGGAAUUAAACAGGGGCCUCUUAUGAGGUAGACAACCGCUCUCCUGCUGUACUCUUCUCCGACAAAAAUCUAACGUUUUUUUUGUAUUGGGAAUCGAAUUGAGGACCUUGCGCUUGCCAGGCAGGAUACUGGUGCCACUGAGCUAUAUUCCCAGCAAGAACCAUCUAACUUUUAAACUAUAGAGUUCUACUAGAUGUGAAAAUGAAGGAAGUAUUCAAUACAGUGUUACCACAUUCUAUAUCUUAUUGAUCUUAAUUUCAGCUAAUUAAAAAAAAACAUUACGAAGGAAAUCAGGAAGCAAAGAUCCCAUUUGCUAUGUAAAGAAGGUAUUUUUAGGCUGUUUGCUUAUACAGUAAAUGCUGCCCUUUCUGAUUCAAAUGGAAAUGGGAAAUCAAAGUGCAGGAUUGUAACAUGAUUAAUAAGUUAGGCUGUGUGAUGUUAACAAGUCUUUUGUCAGUCUAGUGGUAUGAGGAAGGAGUCUCUCCGAGGAUUUGUGAGGCUUUUAUCAAUUUAUGUUGGAAAUGAAAAUUCACAGGAAAAUUCACAGGAAAAUUUUCAUAGUGAAGCUGUUAGUGUUAGUCAUGGGCUUAUGGUAACUUGUAAACUGUCGGUAAAUUAUUGGUUAGAUUUAGAGCGUGUUUGAUAGAGCUGUCUGAAACCAGAUGUAGUUAAUGUACAGUCCAGUGUGCUGCUGUUCACCUUGGUUAAAUACUUUCAUUUACCCUGCCAGGAGUUUGCCUGUGAUUUGUUGGAGCUGCGCAAUUGAGAUUAUGUUUAUACACCUCAGGGGGGAAAUAUGUGUUAUGUUUUUCUUUACUAUGGGAAGAUGACAAUCCAAUGAUUCUGAAAAUAAUAGUGGCAUUUAGCAUGGAAAUUGUCUAGUGAAAUAUUGAUUCCCCUUCUGAGUAAACCUCAGCUACUUGUCCAGGAUGGGAGUAAGAAUGGCUUUUGUUGUGAAUUCAAUAAGAAAAGAUUUUGUAAAAGUCAUUUUGUCUUAUUCCAUUGUUUUGUGAGCUAUUCCUGUCUCUUUCUUUUUCCUUUCUUCUGUCAUCUUUCUUUUCCUUUCAUUUUUAUUCUCUGUUUAUUUUUUUUUGUUGUUGUUCUUUUCUUUUCCUUCUUCCCUGUCUCUAUUUAGUAGCUGUCUGUGACUGAGGUAAAUUUUUGGAUGAAAUAUUUAUUUGAAUUUUGGAGUAAAUAUGAUUAUACACAUAUUAUACAGAUGCAUACACAUAGGUAAACAAGAAAUUAGGUAUUUCAUAGGCUUUUCCGUAAUCUUUUUCUCUCUGUGCAUUCUUUCUAACCUAAACAAUUACAAACAUGCAUAUCAGAUUUUGAAUGAGGAAAUAGAAAUAAUUAUUAUUUAAUUUUAUCGUUUCAUAAAAAUGUAAAGCAACUAUAAGAUUCAGUGUAAAAAUCAUUAAACUUUCUUUGGUUGAACUGAUGCUUUUAUUAUUAUAUAAUGGUCAUAUUGCCUUUAGGUUUCUUUGAAUCAAAAGUUAUAUGUAGAUUUAUGUCUCUUCAGAUUUCUUUGGACUGGAAGUCAUACUUUGGACCUACUACUCAGUCUGUCUGGUUGUGUAGUUGUGGACAUUUAUUCCAAGUCUCUGUGUGGUCACUAGGUGAUACGCAUCUUGGAGAAUACAUCUGUUCUUGAGGUCACAAACUGGUGAGAGAGAUCUUUUCACCUUAGAAUGGACAGUUAUGCCACAUUAAAAUAAAAGCAUAAACCACAUUCGAUUUUCUCCAAGCAGAAAUGAUUAAGAAAAAAUGAGCUAUAAUGUAUUUAGGUUUAUGAGUACUUAGGAAUUUUUCUUGGGACUUUGAUUCAGAGAAUUCAGUUUAAAGUUUGCUUCUAUUUUGCUUUAGAAUACACUGAAAGAGACAAACAGUGUGUGUUUUGGCAGUUUACAGUAAUAAUGCAGCCUCUGUUAUUUGCCCAAAUAACCUAAACUGAGUUGAGUGUCUUGGUGAUUAAGAACUUUUUUCCAUAACUUGCUUCGAGUAUAAUUUAAGAAACCUAGCAUUCAGAGUCGGAUACAAAAGACAACUGGUGAUAGGCUGUCAGUUAGAUUCUGCAGAGCAGAAGGAUGGAAGUGUCAUUUGAGAUGGGUCUUUGAUUUGAAAGAGGACACUUGCUUUCAUUUAGGUUAUUAAUCUGUUUCAUCUCCAACCCCUUCUCCACUCAUAAUCAUCUUCAUUCCUGUCUCUCCUUAUGAGAUGACCAAAUCAAGACUAUAAUUCAUUCAAUAAAAUGUGACAAACCAUAUAUCAUAUUUCAAGGCUUUACAAGUCCCACCCAUCUUACCACCUGGAUGUGUUUCACCUUCAUGCGUCGUUUUGGACAAGGAGGAAAAGGGAAAAGCGCUAUUCUGCUUUGGACUCAGAUUUAAUAAAAUAUUCCUGAGACUUUAAUAAGUAUUAAAGCUGUUAAUAACAUGACUAGAGAGGAUGAAAAGCUAAAAAUAGUCUCUGGGUUGAAGGUGAUAUUCUUGGGCAACACUGUACUGUGAUGAUUGAGAUUAUAGACCGCAGAGCUAUCCUGACCAGGGUCUAAUACCAGCUCCUCUCUCUUAAUAGAUGAGGGGCUGUGGGUAAGUUCAUUUAAAUGAUGUCAAUUUCUUUACCUGUAAAAUGGGAGAUUUUACUCUGUACCCAAUUCAUCUAGUUUUUUUUUUCUCUGUUUCUUAUUUCAUACUGAGGAUUGAAGCCAGGGCCUCACUGAAGUACAUCCCAACCCUACUUGAAGUUUUGAAGCAUGUUCUCAGUAAUUGCUCAAAGUGGCCUGGAACUUGUAGUUCUCCUGCCUAGCCUCCUGCAGAGCUGGGACUAGAGGCAUGGGCCUCCACACCUGGUUUACCUAGUUUUUUUAGUCAAUGAACAAUGUAAUGUGUUUCCAUGCUUUAAAAUCUUGUGUUUGCUGUUCUUUUUGGUUGUAGUAUUGUUUUAGUCAUCACUUAGCUCAAAGUUUGCUGGAGUGAUAUCUCAUUCCUUCUUGUAGGUAUUUGAACUGAAAGUAUUUUAAUAUGUCUCCAAGUGAGAUUAGUGCUAUGAGAUAAGUACUACAUUAUACUAUACUCUUUUAGUCUGCUGCUUUCUAAGAAUACAUGCUAUACUCUUCAGAAAGAAUGAUGACAUUGACCUAAAGUGAAUCUUUGUUAACCCAUUGCCCCUACCUUCUUAUCGACUGUCUUAUUCUCCUCCUGGGUGCAUCCCUCUUUCAUGUGUAUUCCUAUCCAUGUACAGAUACAUACAUCCAUAUACAGAUACCUGUAUAUGUAUAUAUAAUGUGUAUUUAGAUCUUUAGUGAUUCUCCUCGUGUUCCAAGAGCAGAGCACUGAGGAAAGUUAGGUUUGGAAGAACCUUUGAUGAGUCAAACCAGUUCUUACCUUUUGAUAUCUCAGUAUAAUCCUGGGAUACUAAUAGAGAUGUGAAUGUGAAUUAUUUGAUGUGAUUACAAAUCCUUGGCGGACAAAAAGGUUGUUAAGUAUCUGCUUUCUUGUGUUUUCCCAAUGGAGAAGGCUAGUUAUAAAGUCCUAGGGUUAGAAAUUGCUGGCGUUACCCCAGGGACUCUUGACUCUUAGCUUGGGGACUUAUUUCACUUAGUCACAUGAGGAGCCUAUGCCAAGGAGCUAAUGAAGUACUGGUUGUCAUCAUGUGCCUGUUUCUGAAGCAUUUUAUCCUAUAGAAAAUCCUUUUAAAUUCAUGAUUGCCCAGAUUUGGAAUGAAUCCUCAGCAGAUGAAUGGAUAAAGUGUUGUGUUUGUACAUGAUGGAAUAUUACUCAGUCUUUAAGCUCCCAUUGUUUGUGACAACCUGGGUGAACCUGGAGAACAUUACACUGAGUGGUGUAAAUCAGGCAAAGACCAAUUUUUACAUGUGGAAUCUAAACAGUUUGAACUCAUAGAAUCAAAGAGUGGAACAGAGAUUACCAGUAACCAGGAUAGGAUGGGGAUGGCGUGUUCGCCAAAGAGUACAAAGGUCAGUUAGUAUGAAUAAAUUUUAUUGUACAGUCUGGUGACUAUAGUUAAUAUGAUACUGUAUUCUUGAUAAUUGCUGAGCGUACUGUUUAGAGCUACUCACCAAAAAAUGUAAUUAUAGGAAGUGAGAAAUAUGAUAAAUCAUGAUAAAUAUGAUAAAUUGAUUUAUUCAUUCCAUAAUAUAUGCAGUCAAAAUGUCACAUUGGAUAGCAUAAAUAUAUGCAGUUUUAUCAAUUAUGUUAAAUUAAAAUUUUCUUAAAUAUUCCUUUCAUAAUUUGAUUCUUUGCAUUCCUGUCCCCUAAAUUUUAUUUCUUUUGAGUUUCUUCUGGAACUCCUAAUCUUAAUAGGAAAGCUGCAUCUGUAUUUUUUUUUUUUUUUGUUCAACUUAUUUUCCAUUUCUAAGUCUGGUAGUUGUUGUCUGUAUUUUUCAUGAUAUCCAGAGGAAGAAACGGAAUUUGGGUGAUUGCCUCCAAUUAUUAAAUAUUUAGUGUGAAAUGGCCACUUUGAAAUACACUUCCAUGAAAGAAAGGAAAUUACAAUGGAAAUUAAGAGGAAAGGAGAUAUUGAAGAACGGCAUAGGAACAUAUCGGAGAGAAGGUCAUAUAUUGGCUACGUGGUAUUUUCAUUUUGAAGAGACGUUUGAAUGGAAGAUAUUAACAGUGACGGAUGAAUCCAUAAUUAUUUUCUAUCCUGAUUUUCUUAUUACCACCUACUAUUUGAUGUUCAAGCAAUGUUCUCUGAGGUAUUUAUUCUAGUCAUGAUUAAAUCUUUAAUUUCCUUCUCUUCUUCUUUCCUUAUUCUUUCUUUCAGCAAAUGCAUUUAGUAGGUACUAACAGGAGGAGAGAACAGAAACAACAGUAACAGAAAGCAUAAAACUUUUCAGAAUGUUUCUAAUGUAAACACUUGAGAAACAAAGUGGGACACAAUUUUCAGUGUCUCAAAACAUGUCUUCAGGGCUGGGGGUUUAGCUCAGUGGCAUAAGUGCCUGCCUUGAAAGCAGGCAGUCGUGAGUUCGAUCCCCGGUACCGAUAAAAAGGAAAAAGACAAAAAAAAAAAAAAAAAAAAAAACCCAAAACAAAACAUGUCUUCUCCUAAAUACCCCUAAGUAAUGCAAAUAGUUAUGUGAAUAGAUGAAUUAUAAAGCUAUCCUACUGGAAAUUAUGAAACAUCUAUGUGACACGUCUUUAAGAAAUUUACUUAGGUAUUUUGGUAGAAAUUGCUAGUCUUUUUUGUUUACUUGGGGAUUUAUUAACUUUAAAAUUAGCUCGCAGUGUCUUAGGGAAGACCGAAGUUAUUUUACUUUCUGAUCUGUAAUUAACAGUGAAGUACAUGUGUAUGUGUAUACGUCUGUGUGUAUGUAUGAAUUGGGAGUAGCUGUUAAAUAGAAAGGACAUGAAUCACAAAUUGGCAUGCUUGACCUGAAAGGGAUUGAAAUGCUUCAUUCAAUUAGUAGGUAUUAUAAAUUUCCUGUGAAUGAAAUUAUUAUAUAACCUAUUUGUUAGAAUCCCACUGAAAGUUCUUUUUCAGAUGCAUUUAUUUUCCCCUGCUUGCUAAAAGGGCAGAAUUUAGGUAAGAUUCUUUAAAAGGAAGUUUCUAAAAAUAUGCUGGAUACCUGGCCUUCAUUCCUCAACAUGUCUGGUUGAGUGAAACCAUUCUAUAUGUUGUUUUAAAUGAAAUUUUCAUAUUUAAUAUUCUUAAGAAAACUUCCUCAUAAAAAUGAGCAGAAAUUAGCCAGAGAGUUAUUUGAAUAGAAAAAGGUCAACAAAGAAAAAAUACAUUUAAAAAAAAACAAAACAAAACAAAGAUUAAUUCAUCUUUUUGGACAAAGAAGGUGCAUAAUUCGGAAAUAUAAAAUUAUGCUCUGCAGGUUCAUUAACCAUUAGGUUUUUUUAAGUCAGCUGUGGCUAUGUGUGUAAGGGGAAACAACCACAAAAUUAGGCUUUAAAGACUUACAGAUAAGCAAACUUUUAUAACACUGAACUCCAAAAAGGAGCUGUUUAUGCUUGCACGAGAGCUGCAAUGAUCUUGUAAAAGAGGGAGAGCGGCCAGCCCAGCUCACUCUGAUUUGACCCUUUCAGCAGGGAGAAGAGGGCAGAGCAGCUCUGACAAGUGCCCUACUUUUCUGUAUUUUCUACUGAAAGGUUGACCUGAAGCAACAUGAGGUCUUCUUUUCUUCUUGCUUUUCACCCUCCUCCACAUUUGCUCUCUCCUUUCAUCUUUGCCUCCAUGAUUAUCAUUGAGUACAGGUACAACUGGGCCGCUGAAAAAGGUUUUUCUUCUAGUUUGUGACAAUAUACCAUUGUUUUUUAACUGGUAACACUGGAGGAGACUAAUGAAAGCUGCAAGGAAUCUAUUUAUUACCACUGAAUAUGAUUUAUAAUUUGCAACUUGGGGUGAAAAAAAUAAUGAAAAGAUCCACUUAAAAAAGAGAGUAAAUGGGACAGCUUCUUUUCAUUCAGCCAGAGGUUAGCUGUCAUGUUUUAAGAGUUUAGUGACAUAUCACUAAGCUCCCUUUUAGCACUCUUGACCAUUCUUUGAAAGGGCUGGAUACAUGAUGAAUUGCUCAGAUAUAACAGGUAGCAGUAUUAAAACCAAUGACACAUUAAAGAAAAGGACAAGGAAUUGUUUUAAAGAAUUAAAAGUGGAAAAUGGCAUGAGACUAUCAUUGUUCAGGGUGUUGUGGAGAAUUGUUUGAGUGGAGAACAGAAGGGCAGCAGCAGUUGUCCGUGCAAGAAUGGUGACAGGUAGUGACAUAGUGACAGUGUUUAGGGAAAUGUAUUGAAUUAUUUUAAGCUUGUUAUUGGAGCUUCUGUUGCUACAUCGUUUUUCCAGAUGUUCCCUUUGUUUUCACCUCUUUUACCUGCCUAACCUACACAGGGUAGAACAGAAAUAAAGGGUAGAAGAGCCUGAAGCCUGGCUUCCUAGUCAGUGCUCUUUGAUCCGUUGGGAAACAGUGUGACAUGAGAAAUGUCACAUCUGAAGUGCAAGUCCAGCAGUUUACCUGGGCCAGGGAGUAACGUGGGGUAACAUAAUAAGAGGAGGUGUGUUAAGGGCUAGGACUGUGCCUGUGUAGAGUGCACUGGGUUUAUUUGUUUUGUUUUGUUUUCAUCUUUCUUUGGUACCAGGGAUCGAACUCACGACUGCCUGCUUGCAAGGCAGGCGCUUAUGCCGCUGAGCUAAAUCCCCAGCCCUGAGUGCACUAGGUUUUGCCACAGCAUUGUGAAAGUCUGAGGGCUGCCUCACUGAUGGAACCUCAGGGUGAUCAUUUCACUUCUUCAUACCUUACUUUCCUUGAUAGUAAAAUAAGGUAUCGUUCCAUGCCUGGACUUUUCAAGUUUUUAGCUUAGGCUCAUGAAAUCCUCAUUGUCCACAGUCCUCAGCCUCCCUUUCCCUUCUGGGCCAGAAUUGCCUGCUCUGUUAUCCUUUUGUGUGUAAACUUCCUUACGCAGUGUCUUAGGAGAAAAAUGUCUGGUAAAAAAGAAGCUGGAGAAACUCUGUAGUUGAUUUUUAAGCAUUAUUUCAAUCUAAGUACUGGGGAAUGUUCUUUGCAUCAUUUUUUUCUUUGUAAUCUUGUUUUGGCUUUCCUAUUGCACUUAGUGGUUAAGACAAAGACUUGUGUAGUUAUUAAUGAAAUUAUCACGUUUGCCUUGCUGAAGCUGUAGCAUCAUUCUCAAAAAGAGUAUAACCAAAGGACAGUGUGAAAGAAGGGACUCCAGUCUGCAGCAAGCCUAAACUUUUUUUGUAAAUGAAAAACUUGAAGUGAUUUCUAGAAAAUACUUGAUCUGAGUUAUAUUUGGAGGAUGUAGUUGAGAAUAGGAACUGAUGGGUGGGAUUUAAGUGUAGCUAUAAAAAGAGCAUCAACUGUUGCUCAGAGUAGGUGAGCUCUAAGAGGAGGUCACAGAAACCUGGUAGCAACCGUAUCCAUGGAGGAAAGGGCUUGGAUGCUUAUCCCACUGUAAGGGUAGGGGAGCCUUUGAAAAGAAAAGCUAUGUUAGCAAGCUUUUUAAAAGAAAAGCUUUAAUGGUUCUGGCUCAAAAUAUGAAAUCUUGCUGCUUUUUUUCGGUAAAGCAAAUCAAGCUGAGGUCCGCGAUAGAAGGCACAUGGCGUUUUGCUUUUGUCUUCCCCAUGGAGGUCUGGAAGCACACUAUUGCUUUUAGGCAUGUGAUCAUCAUGCACAGAAUAAUGCUGCUGCCUUCAGUGUGGUUCAGACCUUGAAUGAAAAAUGGUGAUGAUAAUGAGGGUAAUAUUUUGAAGUAGCUGAGGAUCUACAAAUCAUGCUCAUGCUUAAAAAAAAAGAAAUCUCUCCCAAAGAAGUCUGUUAGAACGUUUUGACAGAACAGAUGCUGCUCAAAGAGUACAAACAGAUUUUUAACUGAAAAGAAAAAAAAGAAAAAAGUUAGAGUGGGGGUGGUAGUAAUCGUUAAGGGUACUGUAACGGAAUAUUAAUGACUCCCAAACAGACUCUAUUUUUAAUUUGAUCAUGAAGAAGUGCUGCAGGAUUUUAUAUGCGGGUGCAUCCAUAGAAUUUUGAAUAUUUGUAGGCUUGGAGCAUUCUUUCAAACAACAUAAUAUAUUUCAUUGGAAUUGCUGCUGCUAUCAGUCAAGCAUGAACAUGUAUAAUGGAUAUGAGUUUAAUUGGUCACAUUGUGAAUUGCAACCAUCCUCUUUUUGCUUAUGUGCACCAGAAGGGGGAUGGGUAAAUUCCUCAGGAGUGAUGCACUUCUUUUGGAAGACCUACAAACCAAGCUUAAAAGAAUUGUCACAGCCAAUAACCUGCCCUGUUUGUGGUGUCUUACCAUUAAGUAACAGUGGGAGACAUUUCCAUUUAAAAGCGUUUGUAACUAUCCAGUGAAAAUAUCUCACAAAGGAAAACAGUUUCUUCUUUAGUGGUAGUAAUGCUUCACUAUGUAAACAUCAGUUGUCUUGAAGACUAAGAAAGAUGAAAACAAGUAAAAAAGUAAAAAUUAUAUAAUACAUAGAUGUUACAGAGGGUAUGCAAAGAAUCCUACAGAUUGUAUUCAGACCUUCAUUUAGAGCCUGCUUUUAAUAACCACUACAAUUUUUACGUCAAAAGUUUUGGCCUGAUCUCUUCUCUGGUACACACAAGCUGAUGGCUCUGUAGAGAGGAGUAAGUAUACCAGUAGACCAAGAUUGCUUGAAAUUGAGAUGGAGCUGGGCUCUGCCACUGCUUGGCUCUGAGCCAGUUCUUCUAGCAAUACAAUAGCCGCAUAGAGUUAAUGUUUUGAAAUGCAAGCAUUUAGGUUCUUACUUAAAUGUGCAGUUGAAAUUAUUUUGAUGAAAAAAAAAUUUUUUUUUUCUCUAUUUGACUGUGAAUUCAUUCAAAAGAAGAAUUCAAAGGGAGCGCUGUUCCUCAGAUACGCGUUAGUGGGUAGUAAGAAGUGAUUUGAAAAUGAGAUGAAAAAAAAACAAAAAUGAAACCUGAGAGUCCUUGGUCUCCAAAUGGGAGGACUGGUUUGAGGGAGAGCAGCAAACCUGUGCAGUCAGGGACUUCCCAGAGAAUGGCUGUUAGAGCCAGAGCAGCCACAAAUGGAUGUAUGCAGUGAGUCAUGGAAAAUGUUGCAUUAUGUUUACUUAGCUGAUUAAGGAGAUAGGGAGUGUGAAAGAGAUUUAGAAAGACUGCCAAGAAAACUGUUUUAUAAAAGCUUUUGGCUUUUAAAUAAUUUGCUUCAAUUGCAAGAUACACUGAUACAGAAUUAUUCACUUCUUUGCCCUCAAAUGGUUCUUGAAUUACAUCCUCUGUCAGUGUUGGGGUUUUAUUAUUAUGGUCAGCCUUCUGCACCUGCGAUUUCAACCAACCAUAGAUUAAAAAUAUUUGGGAAAAUGUUUGCAUAUAUGCUAAACAAAUACAGACUUUCUCGUUAUUAUGUCCUCUACAAUAUAGUAUAGCACUGAUUUGCAAUAGCAUUUGCAUUGUUUUACGUAUUAUAAAUCAUCUAGAGACUCUUUGAAGUAUGCAAGAGUGUAUGCAUAGUUUAUAGGCAAGUACCAUUGUUUCUAAGGGACUUGAGCAUCUGCAGUUAUUGGUAUGCUGGGAAAUACGUAUCCUGGAAUCAGUGCAUUAUGGAUACCAAGCAUAGACUAAAAAGUUUUUUUAAAAACAUUUUUUGUUUUUACUGUUCCUUCAAAUUCUCCAUAGAUAGCACCUUAGUUUCAUUGUGUAGAUGUUGGUUUCUCAGAAACACCCAUAGUGGCCAGGUAUGGUGGCCUAGUCCUUCAAUCCCACAGGGUGGGAGGCUGAGGCAGGAGGAUCCUGAGUUAAAGCUAUAUGAAUGGGUUUGGAGACACAGCCCUGAGUAAGACAGGCUGGGUUACUUAGUGAAUUAGUUAGACUCUUUCUCAAAAUAAAACAUAAGAAAAGGGGGUGGGGAUGUAGCUCAGUAUGAAGACCCUGGGUUCAAUUUCCACUACUACCACAAAGCAGAUAAACAAGCAAGAAAGAAAAGUCAAAAGCUAUCUAUCCCUUAGGAGGAGUGUUUGGGGGAUGACACAAGUAUCUAACUGUUACCUUUCCAGUACACCUGGGUUAAAUGCAGUCACAGAUCUAGUUCUCCCCUAUCAUAUCCCAGAUGGUCUAGUGAGAAUUUUGUUACCUGUGCACUUUUCCCCAGAAGUGAACUCACUGUCCAUUUAGAUCCCACUGCUCUUCGAUGAAGACUACAAAGGAAAGUAGUUCUGGAGCAAAUCAUUUAGCUAUGAGGUUGCUUAAUUCUGGAACAAUUAUUCCUUGAGAAUACCAGAUAGGCAAGAUUUUUUUCCCCUCUUCCAUUUAGAAACGAAUCAAAGGUAAAUCUAAAUACCCAGAAUGUUAUUUGAAAGGGUUACUUACAUUUCAGAUUGUUAGUUAUUAUAGUAUAGGUACAAAACGAAAUUCAUGAAGAGUUAUAAAUUUUGACACUAUGUUAAUUUUGAUUACAUAAUUAAUGGUUAUUGCUUGUCACUUGUAUGAAAUUCCUCCCUGCCCUUAUUCUUAAGGACAGAGACUACGUUGUGUUGCUCAUAGUAUCCUUUGCCUCUAAUAUAAUUCCUAAGACAGAACAGAUUUUUGACAAAUACUUGUUGAGGAAAUAAUUGCAGUAAUUAUAGUAAUAACUAAUAAUGACACAGCAGCAAUGAUUCUGACCAUGGAUUAGCUUUGGGAGCAGUGUGUGAUCAAUGUCACACUGAGUGUGUACAUAAUUUCACUUCUGUUUAUCCUGAGAGAGAAGCCAUACCUUUCAUCAGGGCAAACUUUGUUCUCCCCAAAAUUUAUGAGUCAUAGAGGACUCUGCAGCUUGUAGACUAAUGCAUUACUGUUUUGAUUAAAACAAACAAGCCAAUGCCAGCAGCAGCAAAACACUUAGAGGAAUUUUUCCUUCUCCAAAGCACAUGGCUCAUUCAUUGAGGCCCAUCUGUGUGCUAAGGUCUGUGGCUACACAACCCUUAAUAAGACAACAGUUCAUACCUUCAUAUACCUCAGAGCUUGGGAGAGAAAGUGUAAUGAGUGAUUACGCAAAUUAUGAAAUGCUUUGCUUACAAUUUCAUAAUAUAUUAGUUUGAGUAUUGUCUUAGUUACAUUCUUAUCUGUGAGACACAAUGCCUGACACUCACAACUUACAGGAGGAGGAGAGGUUUAUUUUGGCUCACAGUUUGUCCAUACUUGGCUGGCUCUGAGGCUAGCCAUGGCAGAGGAGAACUGCUCAUGACAUGGUAGCAGGACGCACAGAGAGAGAGCGAGGGAGGAAGAAGCGAGAUAGCCCUUUCCAGGCUACGCUCCCAGUUACCCGCUUCCUCUGAUCUGGCUUCACCUCCCAGCAUCGCAUGUAGCUGUAAUCCCAUCAGUGGACUGAUCAGUCGAUGAGUAUCAUACCCCGUGACCCCAAACUACCCCCAAACCUCCCCAAACCCUCACCUGUGAGUACAUGAGGCUUUGGGGGGAAUCUAGAUAUAAACCGUAACAGGUAUGGGAGGCAUACCAUAUUUGGCAAAAGUCAGAUGAAAUUUAGUAGGAUUCAUGAGUUUUCACUUUGGUAAAAGCUGUUCUAAAUAUAUUGGGUGAAACAAAGAUGAGUAAGGCAUGAGUCCUUUCCUGAUGGAAUUUUAACUUAUUAUAGUACUUUUCAACACUGGCUAUACAUUAAAAUCAUUUAGGAUAAGGAAAAAAAUUAGAAGACUGAAAUAUUCAUACUCAAGGGGAAAACUAUUGAAAAAAAAAACAACUUUGGAGAAAGACCUGACACUUGCUUAUCAAACUACCAGAAUAGUUUGUGCUGUCAUUGUUUGUUUGGCUGUUCAUUUUUUAUGCUUUGUUUUUGUAACUUGAACAACUACUUCUAAGACAACAAUAUGUAAUAUAUCAACUAGAGAUGAUUAGUGUUAUUUUUCUGAAAUUUGUAUUAUUUCUACCCUUUUUUCUGUUUUGCUUUUUUAUAAAUAAAAAAUGAUAAUAUACUUAAUGUAUAAUAUUAAACUUUUUAAUGUCUUUGUUAAAAAGAAAACAAAGACACUCAAUGAUCCAACAGUUUAAGAACAAUUAAGUGAUGUGUUAUAGAGAUAAUCACAGCCGCCCCAAAUUGGAAAAAACAUAAACGUUUAACAGGUGGAUACAUAAAUGAAGUGUAUAUGAUAUAUCCACACAGUCCAUUACCACUCAACAAUGACAAAGAAUGGACCAUUCCUACACGCAGCACCAAUGAAGCAAGCAUGACACUAGAACUUUAAACAAUGGUUUUGUUAUAUGACAUUCUAGGGUAGACAAAACUAACAGAUGGUGGUAGGGGAAACCUCAAUGAAGUGAUUUCCUCUAGAGAUGCCAUUAUGGGAAUUUCCUGGGAAUGAACAUGUAACUUGGAGGAAAUAUUAGGGAAAAUGUCACUUGGGAAAAGAUACAAACAAAAGCUUGAUGUCUUCUUCUGCCUGACCCUACCUCUCCCCAAUUUCGAAUAUUCGUGAAUGGGGCUAUGUGUGUUAUUUUAAAGGCAAUCCGAUGAUUAUGGCACCUAUGGGGGCAUGACAGGGAGUAAAGAAAGAUGAAAGAAUACUCAGGGGAUAAGGGGACUGGGAGAACCUUAUCUCUAGUGGACAGGCACACUCAUCUCAGUAGUCAGCCCACUUUUAUUAGCAAACCAGGAGCACAGGAGAAGAGGUGGUGGACUUUGACUGCGGCACAAGGAAAAGUUAAUGAAAAACAAGUUCUUCCCUAUGCCUGGUGCCUGCGUUCUUUACAUCAUCCCCCACAGAUGUUAUCUUGCCUUAAGAGUACCGUGGAUAUGAGUCCUGUCUCUGCAGCCAGGAAGCAUGAGAGCCUUGCAAAUACUUCUGUUGCUAAAGUGAGGUCACACUGUCCUUGAGUCCAUGAGGCCCUAAUCAUGUCACGUGGUCUCCAAUAUAGUAAAAUGUUAUUUCGUAUCCCCUCAUGCUCAACACAUUAAGAUUUAAACUAUCAAGUGAAAUAAAAUACAAAAGUGACUAUAUUUAUUUUCUACUGUUGUCAUAACAGAUUGUCACAAAUGCUGUGACUUGAGAUUAUACGUCAUUCUGUGAGUUCAGUGUUUGGGUUGGCUUGGUUGCUUUUUCUGGUCCAAGUUUCAUAAAGUCAAGUCACGGGUAAAGCAUUUUUUGUGGAGGUGCUGAAGGUGAUUUACUCCAAGUCUGCUCAGGCACUUUGCAGAAUUCAGCUCCAUGAAUUUGUGCGAAUGAAGUCCCAUUUUAUUCCAGGCUAAUAACCAGAGGUCCUUCUCAGCUUCUGGAGGUCACCAGUGUUCCUUUCCUUGUGGUGUGUUUCUUCCAACAGGAAAGCCAGCAGUGACAGACCAAGUCUUUCUCCUUCUGCAGUAGUGCUGAACUCAUUCCCCUACCACUGCCUGCUUUUUGCCUAAUUUCAAUUUGUUUUCCUUUUCUGGUGAUUAUCACAUACACUGAGUGACUGUUCUGCCUUCCUAAUAUACUUUGAAGGGCUGGUAUGAUCACAUUGGGCCCACUUGGGUAAUUCAGUGUAAGCUCCCUGUAUUAAGGUUCACUGAAUGGCAACCAUAAUUCCAUUUCCCAAGUUCCUUCCCAGCAGUGACUAGAUGAAUACUUGACUAAUCAGUAGGUAAUAUGAGUCAGUAUCUAUAGAUCUACAUACGGUGAAGAAUUAUCUAUAGUUGGGGAUUUAGCUCAGCAAUAUAAGCGCCUGCCUGGCAAAUACAAUGUCCUGAGUUUGAUCCCCCGUUCCAAAAAAAAAAAAAGAAUUAUCAGCAAAAUGUGAGGACUUUUGGAAUAAAGACAUUUAGGGAACUACACUGGGGAUGGCCACAUUGAGUUGUCUCUCAAAAAAGCAGUUCUGAUGGAUGGUAUGGAGUCAGAACUGGAGGAUACUGGGAGGGGGUAACAGUCUCAAUGCCAUUGUGGAGAUGGUAGGGCGAUGGUGUGUGGUGCGCUUAGAGCAACCCUGAUCUAGGACCUCAGUCCACGAAUACUAAUAAUUAUUUUCACUGAGUUGUUCAGGUCUCUGUAAUGUAAAAAUCAGAUUUUUUUAGGUCAAAGCAAAAGCGUGGGAAUGUCAAAGUUUGUGAUUAUUUAGUGGGCAGAAAUAAUACUUUAAAAAGUGGGAUUCUUUUUUCUUUAUUCUUCCUUCUCCUUUCUCUCUUGUUUUGUGUAUUACCUUUUCUGCUGCUAUUAGAACUAAAUAGAAUUACAUAUGGAUCCUCUGGAAAGAUAUUCCCAUUAUUUCUAAACUUCCUGAAUCCCAAAUUUACUGGAGGGUGGCCUUACAUAAAAGUAUACCACUCUCACCUUAUAUUGCCCCACAGGACUUAGUUCUCUGACUGCGAUUAGUGGACUUUGUAUCCUGCUUUAUAGGUGGGGGUUAGUACAAUCUCAAUGCAUGUUGUAAGGUCCUGUGGUCAUGGGGCAUCUCUGAUGUCUGUCUAAAAAUUGUAUCCAUAUCAUAAAAGUGAUUUUUAUAGUGAUUUCACAUAAAAGAGUAAUCCUUUUCAUUAGUAUUGCUCUGUGCCACUUAUCUUUCUUUUUAUCCAGUUUAUUUAUAAGCUUUAUAAAGGGUUGAAUAUACCUUUUUGUUUUGAAAGUUGUGCAUCUAGCCAAGAAAAUCAUAAAAUACUUCCUGCCAACCUUUUAAAAAUAGAAAGCAAACUGCCUACAGUUCUUUAUUUUACCUUCUAAAGGGUGUAUACAUAAGGUCUAAAAUAAUGAAACCCAGCACAGCUGGUGCUUUUUUAAAAACCUGAACAUGAGAAAUAGAAUGAAAAGUGGAAGAUACAGUGGCAGAAAGCUAAAGGAUCUUUUACUGGGGAUCAGCGAUUUCAUUUUGGUGGUGUACAUUUUACUCUUAAGCCUUGUAUGCAUGAUACACAUUCCUGGUCUUUUCAGAGUCUUCUUCCUGUUUCCCACCACUGUUUGUUCUUCCUUCUCUUCUGUUUCACUCAAACCUGAAGUGUUGGUGAUGGUGAUCGAAGACCUGUGAAGGAAACCCAUUCAUCCUCUAUGGCUCUUUUCAUGAUCUUUGAGAAGAGAAAAACUCCUUAUAGGAGGUGCCUUCCACCUUCAGAGUGAGUGAACAUUAGCUCUGAGUAAUUCACACAGCAUUUAUUUCUGCUACUACUUUAGCCUGCAAGGGAAGCACUUGUCGCUUCCCCUUGUGACAGUCUCCUUGUCACCCUCCUGCCUCCAACUUUGCUGGUGUUUUGAGUAAAGCUUCUUGCUUUCAUAUCCAAUGGGAAUAUUGAUGUACUAUAAAGAAGGAUAAAUUCACAUCAUUUGUGUGAAAAUAGAUGCACCUUGAAUCCAUAAUGUUAAGUGAAAUAAACCAGGCACACAACAUUAAAAAUCACAUAGUUUCUUUUAUAUGAGAAAUGCAAAAUGUACUUUAAUCAAAGAGCAAAAUAAAAGAUGGACAAUAAGCAAUAGAUCUUUGGCAAUAGAGAAGGAGAUUAAGAGAUGAGAGAGGAAAUGUAAAAUGAAAUAUGAUGUCUCAUGUAUAAACACCAUGUCUCCAGGUAGUGUGGAAUUAUUAUGUACCACAAGCAUAUAUAUACAUAUAUGUCUUCCACCAGUGUUUGGUUUUCUCCAUGUACAUAUGGAGAGAGAGAGAGAGAGCGAAGAAGAGACAUAGAGGGAGGGAAGAAGAAAAAGAAGAAGAAGAAGAAGAAGAAAGAAGAAAAGAAGAAGAGGAGGAGGAGAAAGAGGUCAGGAAGUUGUUGAUUUCGUCUUUUCCCAUUCAGGUUUCAAUUCAGCAUGAUAAGGUAUAUUUUCCGGUAGCUCUGGAAGAUUGUCCUGUUCUCUGCUUGUUCUCACAUAUUUUACUUUGAGACUAUAUUUCUUUGUCCACUCUGUAACUUAGUUAUGUUUCUGGUUUCUUUUCUCUAGGAAAAAUUGAUUUUUAAAAAAUGAAAAGAAGCCUGUAGUGACUCUCCUAGGUAAUUUCUUCAUGCGCCUCUCGACUUUUAUUUCCCUUCUUUGUAAAACUUAAAAUGAAAAGCUCCUUGUAAGGACCCUUCCCAUGUUACCUCCCAGGAAGUGGCGUCAGCACUUCUGCUGGUGCCCACAUACAUUUUUGUAAAAAAAAAAAAACAAACUCCAACUUAUGCUUUGAAAUUAUUAUUAUUAAGAUAAAGAAAUGUAGAGGCAAAAUUUGUAUUUGAUGUGUUUUUUUUUUAAACCAGGAAUCAAACUCAGGACUUCACCCUUGUGUAUUUGUAUUUGAGAUCCUCUUUCAACUUUAAAAAUCAAUAGCUUCCUAAGCUUCACACCAUUUCUUUGAGUGACAGAGUCACCUUCAUUUAAAAAGUGAAGUUUGCACUCAUGCAGAGCAUGCACACACAUGUGCACACACAGAGUCAAGCAUUCGUGGUCAGAUGGGUGUCUUCCUUGAGUCCCUUUGUGCCAUUUGCUAGAUAAAUUGCUAGCCCUAUUGCCUGACCAUAAUGUCAAGAUAUAAGUGGGCCAUUAAAUUCUGCUGGUGGAUGGAGACAAGCUCAAAAUAAAAAUAUAAAGAAUAGUAUAUGACCUGAAUUGUGUUACAAUGAGAGUAAUUUAUAAUUACCCUGAAGGCAAUGUGAAAGGGAAAAAAAAACUAUUGUAAAUAACUUUGAUAAACAGUGUGUUUACUAACCACUAGUUGGCUGAAGGAAGGCAAAAAAAAAAAAAAGUAUAGAAAUACCAUACAUACUCUCAUACUCUAGUUUGUGAUUUUUUUCCUUCAGUGGGCUAUGAACUAGUCAUUCUGAAACUAUUACUUUAUGUAUACACUAGGGUUGAACAACACACAAAUACACAGCAGAUGAUGAGAGCCAGGAUACUCUUGAGAGACAAGACUGAAGUGAACACUAGUGUUGAAUUGUGGUUGGAGUCACCAUAUGAAUUCAUUCUUUUUAAUGUGUAGACAAGAAAUGUAGAUGGAUGUGUAUGUGACCAUGUUUGGGCCACUGUACAUGCCAUAUAUUUCCUAGUUCUGCCUGCUAAAAGGAUCAAGAGGCAGUGAUAUCUCACUAGCAGAAACCAACCUUGGUUUCUAAACACUGAUCACCAGGGAAAAGAACCCUGGUGCCAUUGAGAAGAGGUGGGUUCUAGUCCUGGGGAAAAUAUAAGAUAGGCCCAGAACAUCUUGCAUUGCCAGAAAAUAAGGAAGCGCUCAUGUAGAGGAGGACUACUAGGCGGACAACCCAGCCACCCUGGAGGGAGUUCUCAUGCCCAACCUGGAACAGUUGGAACCAGAAAAUGAUAACAUUAGAUUAUGCCCAGAGAGUUAAAUGAAAAUCUUAUUUUAAAUGAAUAUCCAUGUGCUCAUCGAACAGUCUUUAAUGAGAGAAAUACUGUAUGUGAAUUAGCAGGUAUAAAAAGUCAGGGGAGUAGAAAACCAGCAUCAGGCAAGGAGCCCAGUAGUUAUUGUUGCAUGCAAGAUCCAUUGAUGGAUGUCAAGAUUAGUUGUUGAAAGCUUGAGGAGAAACAGGAUAUUUGCAUAGUCUGAAAGUAUCUUUCCCAAGAUAUUAAUUAUAAAGGAAAAAGUAGUAGCUUCUAUGGAAUUAAUAUCCAGCAGAUACCAUCUUAGUGGAAUUAUGAUGAUUGGCCUCACCCCUGAUAAGAGACAUGGGCAUCGUGAAGCCUCUAAAGUACCAAGGAAAACCUUGUCACUUCUCAGCAUCCUCCAUCAAAUCCUUAAGCUUAUUGUAAACGUAAGAAACCCCUAGUCAAAUUGAAUGGUAGUCUACAGACCAACUGAUCUGUUCACUUUGAGAUAUUGAAAUCCUGGAAUUAGAAAAAGGAUGAUAGAAGGGAUCUAGUGAAACUUGAAUAUGGUCUAUCCUGUAGUUUAAUUAGUCCCAGUGUUAAUGUUGAAGUCCUGGUUUGGGUAAUUAUGAUGUUGCUACCUAAGAUCUUCACAAGAAGGAGAAGUUGGGGGAAAGGUUUACUGGAACUAUUUGUGCAACUUUUUUGUAAUUGUGAAAUUAUUUAAAAAGAAAAGGAAAGAUGCUGAAGAGUUAAAGGUGCAAAAUGUAUGUUCAAAGACAUUAAUUGCAGCACUGUUUAUAAUAGCAAAAUGUUGUAACACUGAUGUCCACAGUGAAGGGUUAGGUAUAUUGUACUGCAUUCUGAUGUUGAAUAUAUUUUAAAAAAUGAUGACAUGGAAUUAUGUAUGCUAAUAUAUAAAGAGAAAGACUCAAGUGUAGAUGGUAUUUACUCAAGAUGCCUAUCGUUCAAAUCCCAUCCUUGAUAAUUAAAACUAAUUCUAAGACUUUGGGCAAAUUAUUCUUCUUCCCUCUCAUCAUCAGUUUCCUCAUGUGUAAAUUAAUACAAAUAAUAUCUGGUUAAGAGCUGGCCAUGAAGAUAAAUGUAAAAAAUCAUGUGAAGCCCUCAGGGUGAUACUUAGCCUAUUAUAAAUAUUUGAUGAAACAAUUAGUAGUGUGUUAUUUUAAAGGAAUAAAUGCCAGAAAACCUCCAGUACAACAUUAAGUAUGAGAUGAUACCAAUUCCAUUAACAUUCCUAUAUGUGAAUUGUGAAGUCUAGAAACUGUAUGUCAAUCAAUGAUAGGGUGUUGGGGUACAACAUCUUAGGGUCCUGCUUUCUAAGUUACUAUGUUAACAUUCAUCUUCCUAAAACAUGAAGUUAGAGAAAUAGCCACAGCAAAGGUAAAAUAAACCUGCUGUUUACUAUCAAAUAAAAAUAAGCAAAGAGAAGUGUAUCCUUAAGGCUCGAGUCUUGGGGAGUCACCAAGAUCAUUGACACAGUCGAAAGCACAGCAGGCUUUGCUGUGUCCUCAGCUGCUUAAAACUAGAAGAUGCCUGCAAUCCUCUGGAAUAUAGUCUUUACUGGAAGAUUAAUUUAGUAUCCUAUUGUUUAAUCGCAGCUGUGGAAGGUUAUCAUGUGUAUGGGUGUAACCAGCUCUUUGUCUUCAUGGGACAUAAACCAAAAGGCUAGGUAGCUGAAGUAAUUCCAGUUAUUUUCAUUACCUGGAGAAGAGCACCUGAAUGGUGCUUUAAUCUCUAAGCUUCUACCGCUUUUUCUCGCUAGUUUGGUGAUGGCUAGCUUGAGUUAUGAUAGGAGCCACAAUUUACUAACAGCACAUAUUUUCCAAGAAUGUUUAUAUUUAUAAAUAUAAACUUUAGCUGUGACUUGUAAGUUAUUUAUGACUGUAAAGGUUUAGGAUUUGUGUUUUUCUGUGCUUGUGUCAGUGCUUAUGUUGUUUUGAUACUCUUCAGAGUUCUGUGCAUUUUGUCUGACCGCUCUUAUUGAAGUCUACACAAAUCUGCAGCAAAUUUUAAGACUUUUUCUAUCUUUGAGGUUUGGGGCUAUACAGUAAUGGAUUUUGUUUUCAGAAAAUGUUGUUUUAUUUGACAUAGUAAUUGUACGUAUGUAUGGAGUAGCGUGUGAUAUUUUGAUACAUAUAUACAUUGUUAAUGCUCAAAUCAAAGUGUACUGGUUUUUAAAAGGACCACAGGGGCAAAACGGGGAUGAAAUGUCAAAAAACAGUUUGUGGUAAGGAAAUAGGAAGACCAUUUCAAGAAAUUAGAAUAAAAGGCAAAAUACUCUUACUCUCUUGCAUUUAUGAUUCCUUCCCAUCCUCCUCCCUCCUCCACCCUCCCUUCCUCUCCCUUCUUCCGCUGCAUGUGGUCACUGUUUCACCUGUCAGUAACAGGAGGGAAGAGCAUUUUUCUUUCACAAUAAAAUUAGGUGCAGUGCACUGAAGCUCCUAUUUCUGUGUUGUAAUCUCUGGGGAGCUUAAAGUAGAUAGGACAGGGCUUCUUAUAAUGCACCAAACCAUGGAUGCUGGUAGGUAAUUUGUCUAGGAUUGAGUUUUAGAAUAUUACCUAUUAAGCAUACUGAUACUGCUUCAAUGUUUUUGUGGAAUUUUUUCAUUCACUUGUCAAACUUCGGCUUCUUAAACUUUAUGCUUUUAAUAUGGGAAUAAAAUUGGCCAACGCUGGUGGUGUGGCUUACAUGAGCCAUUGCAGUGUAAAUUGGGAUCAAACAGUAACAAGCUCUAAAGAAAGAACCAUGGGCUUUUGGAAGCAGGUCAUCUUACAGUUCUAACCCUGCCACUUACUGGCUUUGUGACACAGGGCAAACGCACAGUGCUUUCUGAAGCUCCUUUCUCCAAUUGUUGGAUAUAACAUCCCUUUCUUAUAACUGUUCCCUGUAAUUUCUUUAUGGUAGUUGUUACAAACACUAAAUGAGAUUUACAUGUAAGAAAUUUUUACCACAUCCUGUGCCUCCUAAUUUGUACCUUUAUGGGAUCCUUCCUCACUUUACCCCCCCCCCCCGCACCUCAUUUGUUCUAAUCUAUGUCCUACUCAGGGAUAUGUUUUCUAAAAUUAAAAACAAACAAAAAAUACAACAGAAAACUUAGUCUCCUUUUAUAUUUGGUUCUGAAAUAUUAGGAAGUUUUAUUUCUUCCUUUCAGUUCCUUCAUUCCUUGUUGACUUUGUGCCAAGACUUCUUUCUGGAGGGGAGGAAACUUUCCGCUUUCAGGAGAAAACCCAGUGAAUUCAGCUCUCAGGAAUGGUAGGAGACCUGGGAGAGCUCCAGGGACAAAGGGGGAACUGAAGUUCAGAGAGCUGGAAGGUGGGAUCAGGAUUCCUACAAGAGAUGCUUUCCUAGAAGAGAUGCUCAAGGAACUUAGGACAAAUCAAAAGCAAAGGAUCAUUGGUAGAGGGAAUACUGUAUUCAUUUAGAUGUGCAAAUAGCAGAGAAAAUGAUUUCUGGGUGACUCCUUGCAUGUAGGUGCUUGGUUAAGGACCAUUUCACUGGUUCUAAGAAUGAAGAGCAGUCUUAUUAGAAAUGGAAAUAAUCUUGAAAGGAUGUUGGCCUAAACUGAUAUCCCUACAAUUUCAGAUGAGGGAACUGAAGAGUUAUCAAGGGUGUUAGGUUUUAGAGAAACGGAGACCUCUUCUGAGUCAACCAAACUUUUCCUGCUGUGAUAGGAAUACAGUGAUCUUAACUGAUAAAAACACACUUAGAGAAUGGACCAGAGAUAUGGUGUAUUCUCCAGGGACAUUUUACAAAUGAAACAUGAGACAUUUUUGUCAUUGCAGCUGGAGAAGGUCUCUGUAAGAUAUCAGAAUGACAAGGAGAAGUGAAGUAGAGCAAAGAAGAGAGGUGUGGUUGAAUUCUGAGGGGAGAGGGAUUAAGUUGCUGAAACUUAGCUACUAGAGCAGUGCAGAGAUGAUCCAGGCUGAGUUAACAACCAAGACCUGUCGACAUGGAGCCACUGCCAGUGUCCGGUUCUGCAGGCCAUUUGGCUGUCCGGGCUGGAAUCAAGGGAAACACAGCUGAGCAGUGCCCUUGGGGAGGUGGCCAGGGGAAGCUCCCUGGAGAGCGCUCAUUGGUGGCCUGAGGACUUCUGCUUAUGCUGGAUUGCUCCCUUUGCAGCAGUCACCUCAGAGCUCACAUUGUGCAGUUUCAUUUCUAUAAAUUUCUUCAUGAACAACAAAGCAUCUAUUAUCUCUGACUUGAUGUUUCAUUACUUACGGUCUCUUGAAUCUUCUGUUGGAAAGAACUGCUUUUUAAAAGAUUGCUAGCAGUGUUAUCUUCAUUUAGUUUAGCAUCUUUAAAAAUUUAAGGGACAAGAAUGCCAGAAGACCAAGUAAUUUCAAAUGUUCUCACCAUAAAAAAAAAAAAAGUGCAUUAAUUAGCUUGAUUUGAUUGUUUCACACUGUGAAUUUACUGUUUUGUCUUAAAUAUAUAUAAUUUGACAUUGUUGAUCUUUGAUAAAAUUUAAAAAUUGAUUUACAUUUUUACCACUAAAAGUAAGAUGUAAUCCUAUAACUGUUUAUUAAUAGUGAAUGGCACUGUUAUUUAUAACAUGGAGCUAUCAUCUAUGGACUAUUAGACACACACAAAAUUGAAGUUAAAAAAUAGAUUUCAAAGUGUAUAAUUCUCUUUCUUAUUUCCAAUCCUAUAAUAAAACACAGAUGUUUUAGGACACUUUAUGGUUUACUAUAGAGUUCUAGUAAAUGCACUGUAUUUACAUUUGAUCUUUUUCAGGAUUGCCUGGCCUUUUGUUUCUUUAAAUAUGCUUGAUAUUUCCACAACCAGUCUAUAACUAAUAAUUAAGCAUGAGAACACUCAUGUUUUUCUUUAUAUAUCCUACUCUUUUUUUUCUCCACAAAGAUUUAUUUAUUGUCUAAUGUCUUUAUUUUUUCUGGGGGAAUUAUAUUGUCUCCUUGUUAGUGAUCAGAGCUGCAAAGAGUUUUCAGUCUGAAUUAAUACCUUAAUGCUUAAUCUUCCUUAUCUCUUAAAAACAUUUACCAUUAAGAUUUUAUGAAACUGAAUUUUUCCUAGUUUUCCAUAUAUGCUUUUCAAAAUUAUUUGUGAACCACAAACAUGUUUAUUAAUUAAAUUGCAUAGAGAACUAAGCCUUUAGUCAAAGUCAUUCUGAACAAUAUAUGAUAUCUAAAUAACUAAGGUCUAGCUUAGAAGAAAAAAGCAAGUAACAAUCAAAAUAGCAACAACAAAAUCUUCAUUAAGGUUAUAGUCUCAGGUGUUAUUUUGAGAAAAACAGUUAAUUAGAAUUUUUUUUUUUUUUACAAAAAAACCUUUUUUUAGAGGAGGAGUAAAAGAAUUGAGGGAUUUUCUGCUUUUUAGUAUUUUUUUUUAAAAGCAAUCCAAGAAGACCAAAAAUAACAUUUGUGAAAAAUGGCAAAUCUAUUAAAGAUAUUGUCAGCCUUUUUUAACCUGUAAAAGGUUUAUAUCUAUGUGAUGGAGCUGACAUUCUAAGUUCUAGUAUGAGUCUCCAUUUGAAGCUCAGAGUCGGGAUGUCAGUUUGAAACUCUCCUACCUGCUUGUUUAGUUAAAUCUACGAUAGAAUUCAUAUUUCUUAUAGUGAUGGGAUAUUCCCAAUGUAAUGUGUAGUAUGUGUGGCAGGUCUUCUUAUAAUGUGGUUACUGUGUGAAUUUAAAUAUAUAAGCUAUUGCUUUUGUCCCCAGCAAAAGCAGUGGUGUAAAAAUACCGUGAAUCAGCAUUUUUAUUCUUGACAAUGUAAAUGUUAUCUAAUCAUAGGACAGUAGAGUUGGAAUUCAUCCUUGAUCUCAGUGAACCAUCUCAUAAGAGAGAAAAGGGAUUUCAAAGAUAGAAAAUGACUUCUUCAAAGCCCAGUUGUUGUGCGUAGGAAAAGACAGAAUAGAGAGGAGUAAUGCUGCUCCUUCUUUUUCAUUGCUGUUGAUUCCCAACUGUCAGGAUGCCUCUGAUUGGCAGGGACACGCAAAACUGGUUACCUGAAAAGUGUGACAGUUGCCGGUGAUGUUGAGCUAUGGAAGUGUAAUAUUCAGUUCUGGGCUUGUGAAUCUUUUCUUAUGACUCCAUUUCAGGCAACUGGCUCUCCUAAUUCCUAUUCCAUUACCUUCUUUUAAUCUCACACCAAUUGAGUCAUUUAAAGUGAAGCACGGGUAAUGCUUACUCCCAUCUGUAGAUAGAAAAGACGUGUACAAGCAAUUCUUAUUGGUCAUGGAUUGGGUAGAGGAAGCCUAUACUAUCUGUAGAAAACCUGUUUGCUAAGGAUGUAUGCAGGGAAACACAUAAUCAGGUAUGUCAGCAUCGAUGCUGAAAGUAUUCCCCAUUAGGCAAGUUUUGUGUAUUUCUUCUGCUAAAGUUCAAGAUACUGUGGCUAUAGAAUUAGAAAGUAAUAAAAUAGAGAAAAACUGUACCCUAGGAAGAAUUUUAAGUACAUAUUUUCUCCCUAAAUUAUGUCUGCAAGACUAAUCUAUAGACAUAUAUGCAUCAUAAAAUCAUAUACUUUAUGAGUAAUUUACUGCACUGAAAAUAGCAGACAGAGGGCAUAGCUGAGUGGCAGAGUACUUGUCUAACAUACACAAAGUCCUAGUUUGAUGCCCAGCAAUGUGAGGGAGAGAAAACAAUAGAGCAGAGAAUCUGGGUUCAAGUUAAUGUUCUUCUAUUUUCUAAUGGUGGGCCCUAAGGUUCUCAUUUAUGAAUAGCAUUUCUCAAAUGUGACUAUUGGAAUAUAUAUUGGAAAGAACCUCAGGAGAAAUAGUAGCCAUCUUUUGCCUCCUAGAGAACUUGGAUUUUAAUUGAUUUAGGAUGGUAUUUUUAAAGCUCCCUAAGUGAUUCUAAUGGAAAAAAUAGGCAACAACUAAAGACUGUGCAGUCCUUUUCAAGUUCUAGUACUUUGAAAUCUUGAGUAUUUUAAAAUUUCAUCUCCUAGGGGCUGGGGAUUUAGCUCAGCGGCAUAAGUGCCUGCUUGCAAGCAGUCAGUCGUGAGUUCGAUCCCUGGUACCGAUAAAAACGAAAAAGACAAAAAAAAAAAAGAAAGAAAGAAAAAAAAAUUUCAUCUCCUCUAGUCUCAUGCUCAGCAUAAUCAUCUCUUCACAUUUGAGAAACAGCACCGUGUUUCUCUAUGAACAUCCAUGUGGGAGUUACUUAUUUAAGUUUUUCCUAAUAGCAUAAUUUGGCUUUGGAACAUUGUCUAAUUCCUAUGUAUUUGAUGAUCUUUGAGUGCUUGAAGAUUAUUUGUAUGAUUCAGCGGAGUUAACUGUUGUUAUACGACAUUAUUUUCAUAUCCCAACAUGUAGUUUGUUUUGUUCUGGGCAUGAUCUGUCUCUUAGAGAUGAACACCAUCCUUUUGAAGAUCAGAAGAGGAGCAGAGGGUUUUUGAUGAUUGAGCCCCUCUUAAACAUUGAUUGAGAUACAAUUAGUAAAAGACUUUUUGUUUAUUGCACUUACUGAUCUACAGAUACAUCUUCUUAUGAGUGCAGUAGAAAAUGAAAUUCGCAGCAUUUGAGUUCUCUGUACCAGCCACAUCUUUCUAGGAUUUAUAUUAACACAUUUCAUUUUUGCAAUGGCAUUUAUUUAUUUAUUAUUUUAAAAGGAAUAGAACAAACCAAUAAAGUGAAACAAAACAAAACAAUGAGAACCUGAUAUUUGAUUUCAAAAAGAAAACAGUAGGGAAUUCACCAUAGUCACUAUAUUGCAUAUAAGUAUCCUCUACAUAGUUGCUCAGACUACUGACUUUAGGCUUUCAAAGUGAAUCAAACAAUACAAGCAUUAGCAUUGUUUCUUUACUUCUGUUGUUAGCAUCUUAGCCUGUGUUCCUCCAAAUCAGCAGGUUGCUUAAGGCAGGGGAUAGUGUUCUCUUUCUAUACCUGCCCAGGCAGUGGCUGGCUCAUGCAGGUGGAGGUGGAGCAUGUAGCUUCUUUCCUGGUUCAUCCCAGUCUGUGGGCCUCCGUUGGCUCAAGGAGGAUGGGUAGGUGUGUGGCUUGUCAAUAGUAUUUAUGAAGCAAGUGUCAUUAUUAUCUUUAUUUAAUAUAUAGAAAGAAAGAAUAAGUGGAGCAGAGCAAGUGAUCAUCUUGCCUCUUGUUUCACAUUGGGUGGCAGAGUUAGAAUGUUUGUUGAUGGCUCCAUAGCCUGGUCCUCUUAGCCUUUCAGCAGAGCAUUUUUUGUCUGUAAAAUAAAGAGUGCUGAUUUCUAAAUACCUUAUCAACUUCAAAAUUUCUUGUAACUCUAAGUAAAUUUAAUAAUAAUUAUGCCAAUACCUUUACAUAGUAUAUCAAAAAGUCUUUGGUCUCUUAGUCCUAUUUCUGAACUAACUAUGUGAAGAACUAUUUACUUUAUUUGAUCCUAAAUCAUAAAUACCCUUACCUGAAUUUACACAUCAAGCUAAUCUUUUUUAUUUAGUAAAAUAUAAAAAAAUUAGAUUCCAUUCAUUCAUUCUUCUGAAAAUCAGGAGAUAGUAUAUUGAUAGAAUCUUGCAGUAUUCUAGAAUCUAGAGUUUGCACAAAAUCAGAGACUCCUGAAAUCUAUUACAAUUUGGCAGCUACAGAAGGUGGAUGGAUAAUAUAAAUUUAUGUUUGAUAAGCUAAAACUUAAUAGUAUGCUGUUAUAAGAAACUUCUAAAGUUCUUUACAUAAAGUAGCUGAUAUGUCAAUUAUAAAUUAUUUUCAUUCUUUAAAUUUUAAUAAAUUCUCCUAGAAAAUCUUUGUUAAAUUUAAAAAUUUUAAAACACGAUUUUUACAUCUAGAGUGAGUGGUUUUUCAGUUUACUCAAGACUGAAGUUUUCUGACGGUAUAUCACUGAAAAAUACAUAAAUAACCCUUGUUUAUAUCCAAUAACCCUGUGUUCUCACAGUUUAGCCAUCCUAAGAAAUUUGUCUUGCUUCUAUCCGGUAUUGUUUCUUAGUGUUUGUAUAAUUCAUUCUGAAACCUCUGGCUUUUUGUUCAAGGCUUGUGUGUUCUAGGUUGCCAGUACAAAUCAUGCUACACAGGACUAGAACACUUCAGAAAAAAAUGGUGCUAGUGGAGCUUCACUCCAUCUGAUGACUGCAGCUUCAGGUGUCUUUAUAGGACUCUUAAAGAACAUAAAGUGUGGAGGUUGUGAAUAAAACAUUCUGUCCACUGUGAGUCUACGUGGAUUCAUUUGCAUUCCAUUUGUCAGCUCAGUGUAUUACCCUGAAUGAGUUUUGUGAGCCUUGCACUAUCACUUCAGAACAUGUCUGCUGAGGCUGGGUGGUCCUGCGCACAUGUGGCAGUAUUACCCUCUAAAUUACUGGGUUCAGGAAUAUAAAGAAGAGAACACUCUUUGAUGUGAAAGUCUGAUUUUCAUUUUAACAGCAGAAUUUUACGUUUUCAUCCCAGAUGAGGACUGUUGCUUUUGUAGUACAAAAAGCCUUUGUAAUGACACUGCUGUUCUUUAGAAGCUUUUGAUUUUAGCUGUAGAAAAAAUGAUUUAACACCUUAAAAAAAUCACAAUGAGAAAUUUUGGUGUUUUUGUUGGUACUCAUAUUUACAGUUAUAGAUUCAUAGAAUGAAAAUACAGGAGAUUUUGAGAAAUAUUGUAACCCAACCACUUCAUUUUAUAGGUACCUCUCAGCACUAUGCCUUUGUUUCAGAAGAAAACAGGAAAUAUCAAACUCCAGGAGGAAAAGGACUUGAUUUACCAUAUUUAGUGUGUUUGUACCCCAGUAGGAAUUCAGUUGGGUUUGCUUAGUGAAUCAAUCAAGAACCUAGGUUUUAGGAAGAGAAAAGAUGCCAAAGUUAUCCUCUUAGUAAUUACCAGAAUAUAAUCUAGAAACAUUAUCUUCUGACUACAAAUUCUGUACGUUUCCCCAGGAUUUAAGAAAAUAGACUUUUACUUAGGAACCUUAAUGUUUAUAAAUGAUCACAUGCAGUUUACCUUAAUACUACUUUUCAGGCAUAUAAACUAUCUUAUUAAAGCUUUAUUGUACCACUUUUUGAAAAUACUUUUAUCCAUAUUUUAUAGAUAAAAAAACUGGGCUGUACAGAAUCAGACCUAAGACCCAUCAAGUUUUUCUGCUCCAAAUUUAGUGAUCUAUUUUUGCCUUUUACAUGGGGCACAGAGUUAUUCAGUCCCUUAAGGAACUAUAACUGAAAUUAUUUUUCCAGCACCUUGUAAAUUAGAGACUUUAAUACCAGUAUCUCUGUUCAGUGCUAACUUAGCCCUAGGGCUCUGUAUUAGAAAGCCAGCAUAAAAGGCAUAGCUUCUCAGCUUCUCUGGUAUAUGAUUUUAGACUUUGGCCUCCUGUGUGGUCUGAUUUGAAGGGCUUCUGUGCUCUUUUUUCUUUUCUUUCUCAUUUUCCCAUAAUUAGAUUUUCAUUUCCUCAUUUUUGUUCUAAAUGACUUGUGGGCUUCAAGACUUUCCUACUAAAUUGCAGAUACUACUGGGGGAAAAUGGUAUUAAAACUUAUUUGAGGAUUAACAUCCAGAGCUGGGAAAGGAACAUGACCUUUUCCUGGUUUCUGUUAAGGAGACAGUGGAGGGAAUGAUGAAUGUGGAAUGAUGUAGAGGCCAUGGUGACAUGACACUAAAGAAAAGCUUCUUUAUCCAGGCUCAGCCAGCUUGUUUCUUGGGUGCCUGGAAUAAUGUCAUUAUAUCUCCACUUUUCUGUGUAAACUCAUCUGUCAGCCAUUUUUUUGGCAAAGGUCAAGCAUGAGUAAUACCACCGUCUAUUCCCAACGCAUAGGGAUUUAAAGAUGGGGAUGGAAUUCUGCAGCACUGCGGUUGGGUGCAGGGGAGAGCAGGCUGUCCACAGGAUUUGCCAGGUUCCUAUCUUCAUUUACCACUUUUAUUUCUCAACUGUGGCUGUUCCAAUGUUUGUUUAUUCUAGAAGGAUUAUUAGAAACGUGAAACUUAGAAAAUUAUAAUCAUGAAAAGUAGAUCUCAAUUUUUAAAAGGGAUUUUGCAUUUCUUUUUCUAUUAAAAUUCUAUAGUUUUUACCUGGUAACCAGUCCUUAUAAUAUACCUUUUUGUGUAAAAUGCAUGUUUACCAAAAGUAGUAUGAAACUCAGAAAUGAAUCUAUAAUGUGGCAAGUUUAUUCUCUCUUGUAAUCAAGUUUGUCAUUAUAAUCUGUGCUCCAGCUUCCAUUUUGUUCUUUUUUAUUCUUCAUUGGCUGAAGAAUCAAGAGGAAGAGAUGGAUUAUUAUCAAGAAAAAGUACUUGUUGGUCAUCCUCUGCUUGCUUGCUUCUCCUUCCUUGAUAUUUUGGCUUCCAGUAGUGGAGGCUGUGAUAGAAGAGGGCCACCUGCUGUUCUGCCUCUGUGUACACAGGCUGCUCUAUCCAUCUAAGGCUUGCCUCCCCCCCCCCAUACCCUUUGAAGUUUGAGCUGACUUGUGAGACAGAGUGGGGCAGAAAUGAUGCUGUGUGAAGUUUUUGUAAUCCUUCAGAGACCUGGAAGGUUCUGAGUCAAGAUGAGGAAGAAAGUCCAGGUUAUCCUGCUGGAGGGAAAAGCUACACAUACUAGCAUGGAGGUGAUAUACCUUACUGCCUGCACCCUACCAGGCAUGGAACUGGGAGGUCUUGGGUCCUGCACUUCAGGGAGAGCCCAGCCAGUCAUGUCAAACCAAAUCAAGCCAUCCUUACUGAGUUCUGCCCCUGGAUACUCAUGCACACUGCAAAUAUUUUAAGCCACUGACUUUCUUGGUAGCUGGUGACAGAGUGAUAGAUUACUGAGACGGGAUUUGUAUCUUCCCAAUCUUCCUUAUUUUCUGACAUCUGUUUGCUAUUUGUCCAAGUACUUCUAAGGCACUGCAGUACUUAGGGAUCUGCCAACUGGUCAGUAUUUUUAUGUACAGAUCCCUUAAGCAUAGCAGCUGCUUCUCACCUAGUAGUUAGUGGCAUUUUAAAAUCAUGUUUACAUCUGUCUUCAUUUGGAGUAGUUGUGUCUGCUGACAUGGGCACAGUGGCAAUGUCUCAUAGCUGUAGAUAGGAGACAAAAAAUUACCCCUCUCUUUAAAAAGAAAAAUAAAAAGAUGACAUUAUUUCUAGAGUCUAUUUCCUGCCACUAUGUGUAACUUUGCCUCUUAGAUUCUUUGGAUAGCUUAAACAUUCUACUUAUUGAUGGAUGAGGAACAACACGAAAAA